rnacentral:rRNA from 1 species
GACAGAGGUCCCGAGCGUUAGGCGGAAUCACUGGGCUUAAAGCGUGUGUAGGCGGAUCGUUAAGUGCCUUGUGAAAUCCCAUGGCUUAACCAUGGAACUGCUUGGCAUACUGGCGGUCUUGAGCCACUUAGGGGCAACCAGAACAAAUGGUGGAGCGGUGAAAUGCGUAGAUAUCAUUUGGAACGCCAAUGGUGAAAACAGGUUGCUGGGAGUGUGCUGACGCUGAGACACGAAAGCCAGGGGAGCGAACGGG